rnacentral:lncRNA from 1 species
GUGGGCAGGAAGCUGUACCUGGAAACGAGAGAGUUUCUGAAACCAGCAAAGAAGACAGGAGGGAGAGGAAAAGUGUGGGAGUUGAGUGAUAUCGGAGAUGUGCUGCCUCAUACCGAGGGAGGAGGACGUAACACACAGCGUGGCAGGAAAAAGACGGUGCAGCAGUUUAACCAGGAAAGUGUCCCUGUUUGCAGAGCUCAGAGAGCGAGAGCCAAACCAACUGCCUCAGUUUCCUUUUCAUCCAUUCCCAUGCAAUUCUGUACCAGUUCUACCUUAUCUGCCUCCGGUCCGUCCAUCCAGCCUUCUCCAUCUCCCAACCUGCUGUUACCUGCAGCUUCCUACGUGCCUUCAGCGUCGACUCUCCUCCACACCACCGCCCUCCCGCCGCCGUCCCCUCCACCUAACGAAGAGCAGCCCGAGCACAUUGAUCGUCUUCUGGAGGAAGUGAUGAUGGGCCUUGACAUUUUACCAAACAGCAACGCUGCUCCGCAUUCUCAGUGUCCUCCUCCACCCAGUAGCAGCAGUUGCACCUAUACCUUAUCUGGGAAUAAUUUGGCCCAAAGCAAAGAACAGAGGCUUACCCCUGGUGUCAGAGAAGCAGGUGCAGGAAACCAGUCCACACAGGUUGUUGCUGUAGAAAGAGGAUCUAGCGGCUCUAGUUCUGCAAACGGUGAGGUGCCAGUUCUGCAGCAGCAGGGAGAGGGAGAGCUAAACGAGAUACUGAACCACUUCCUCCAGUCGUUUGAGCAGCACGUUGAAAGCUGUAGUGCCAGGGAAGAAGAACAGAUGGGUGGUGAGAGCACCACAAAGGCUAGCCAGCCUGUCCUGAGCAAAUACAGAAAAACCAGGACCCAGCCCACAACUACUCACAUUCCUCAUCGCCAUAAUACACAUGCACCCGAUGUAGGUGUGUGCUCUCAUACACAGCAACAAAGGGAUGAAGCUGAAAUGCAGCCCAGCCGUUCUCAGUCAUACUACGCUGAUGCUCACGGCACCGUUCCCCCAGAACCCACGAAUGAGACCUCUGGGAAAACCAGACCACCAGCCAAACAGCGUAGGAAGAGGAGAAAAAAACACUACAGGUUCUCAUUAGAAAGAGGACAGAUGAAAGUGAGGAAACCAGAGCCACUGAGUAACACGACCAGAAUCCAGCAAGAACAACAGGACAAGCAGCUUCAGCAGAUGCCUGUGGUGAAACUGGAAAGAAGUGGCCCACUGCAGUGGUGCCUUCAGAGUCAGGAAGUCCAUAAUCCUGCAAAAGCAAAGACCAGUUUGACAUCAGUGAAAGACCCACAUGACAGCUGGUCCAAAAAGAAUCCACCUGUGUUGUGUAGCUUAAAGAAAUACCCAAUCAGGAGUAGACUGAAAAACACACCUAUCAUGGUGAGCAGUAAGCUUUAUUACAACAGACAAAUGUGUCUCCCACACAUCUACUCUUCUGAAUUAAAGGAAGCACCACCAUGUUUUUAUAUCACUGUUUUAAAAAACACGAGCACUAAGGUUG